AAGCGCAGGCAGGGGAAUUCUCUACCAACCCCUCCCGAUUUAUUUCAGUUUUUGAAGGCUGUCUGGUUAGUCAUAAACCUGACUGGGAUGACUGCCAGGUACUUCUGUGAACACUCCUCUCUGAAGUGGAGUGAAACCAGGUUUUAGCUAAGGCAUGGGCAGAAGCAGAACGAAGAUAUGAGCAAAGUCUUGAUGCUUAGAAGGAGGCCAGGGAGGAAUUACAGAAAAUUAUAGAUAAAUUCCUGCAGUGUGGGGUAUUGCAGGAGUGUCACUCAGCUUGGAAUACCCCUAUCUUACCAGUCCAGAAACCGGACAGCAGUUAUCGAUUGGUUCAGGACUUAAGAGCAGUCAACGAGAGGGUUAAGACUCUACACCCCCUCGUGCCCAAUCCAUAUACGCUGCUAGCCUCUGUGGGGGGACAGUAUUCGGUUUCUCAGUUCUUGAUUUAAAAGAUGCCUUUUUCACGAUUCUGGUGGACACACAGUCCCAGGAAAUUUUCUCCUUCGAAUGGGAAGACACAAACAGGAAUAAAAGGUAGCUGUGAUGGACGGUGCUGGCACAAAGAUUUAAGAACUCCCACACUCUCUUCGGUCAAGCUUUAUCUCGGGACUUGGAAAAAUGGGAAAAUAAGAAGAAAGUCCUUCUCCUGCAGUACGUUGAUGAUUUAUUAAUAGCAGCAGUGGGACUGGAAGUAUGUCUCCAGGCAACCAUACAUUAAGGACUCUCAGCCACUCCCUUUGGAUGCACCUGUCCAUUCCCUACAGCCAGGUGACUUCGUCCUUGUCUGUACCUGGAAGGACGAACACCUCCUGGAACAGUGGGAAGGACCCUAUCUCGUCUUACUGGUUUCCCACACGGCGGCUAAAGUAGAGGGACACAAAAGCUGGAUUCACUACUCCUGACUAAAAGCUGUACCUCCACCGCAGAAUCCAGACCCCGAGCAGUGGAUGGCUCAGCCUACCGGGACCGGAGCAUCGGAAGAUUUGGGAUUCAAGUUAUUAUUUAAACGCAAAUCACUCUAAUUUGGCCAUGUUUUUAAUACUUGUAUGGGUGUUUACUGUUUCUGGACAGCUGGCCCCUUUAUCCUUCCGCUCCCCAGAAAAUAACUGGUGGGCCCUUUUAGCUGUCACAGCCUCUAAUUCUUCCCACUUUUGUGUAGGGAGUGGUUACACUUUAGGGUCUGUAUUUACUACUUGUUUUGUGGGGGUGGCUACGCCCUUGCAAGAAAUUCACAAAUAUACUAAACUUGCUGGUUUCAAUAUUAAAUUGACAGCUGGGCAUCUGUCUCAGUUUGGUUCUAUCUCAAGUCCUAAGCCCUGUACAAACCAGCAUCGUCUUCAGAUUAGGCUAAUGGCCGUGUCCUCAAAUGUUACUUCCUGUUUUACUAUUGUAGGGGCAUGGAAGGUUGAUACUAAUUUAACCAACCAUGAGAUGAAUUCUUCUGUUUCCCCAACCCCGACUUCUUAUUUUUUUUGCACACUUAUAUCUUCCCCGUGGGUGGUUUUUGCUCUGCGGACUAACCGCAUUUACCUAUGUCCCAGCUAACACACUGAAAAUAGACUGGCUAAGUUGCGUGACAUUGUCACUCACAUAACGCAAAAUAGUGACAAUAAUUGGUGGGGUUCUUGGGGUUUUGGUAAUUGGCUUGGGUGGCUAAA